rnacentral:rRNA from 1 species
UACGAAGGGGGCUAGCGUUGCUCGGAAUCACUGGGCGUAAAGCGCACGUAGGCGGACUCUUAAGUCGGUGGUGAAAUCCUGGAGCUCAACUCCAGAACUGCCUUCGAUACUGAGAGUCUUGAGUCCGGGAGAGGUGAGUGGAACUGCGAGUGUAGAGGUGAAAUUCGUAGAUAUUCGCAAGAACACCAGUGGCGAAGGCGGCUCACUGGCCCGGUACUGACGCUGAGGUGCGAAAGC